UAGCUUAGUGGUAGAGUGCAUGCUUAGUGUGCAUGAGGUGUUGGGUUCAAUCCCCAG
rnacentral:tRNA from 1 species